rnacentral:lncRNA from 1 species
CGGCGGGCCGCGCAGGGCGGCGCGGGCUGGGGGACGCGGCGGGCGGCUCCGGGAGGCGACGGGACCCCCAGGCCGGCAGCCGAGUGAAGAGGCAGGAACUGUCUACAAAUGCUCCGGCUCCGAAGCCCCGAGGGAAAGAGCAUCUUUCACGGAGCACCAGGAAUUGACGACGGUGGAAUUUGCUCAGAUCCCCUGAGGCCGGUUCUUUGAGUUUCUGUCUGGCCCUCCGGGAGAACCGUCCCAAAGUUAACUUUGAAAACACUCACAGGAGAGGGAAGGCUGUGGGGUCCUUCGCUUCUCAAACCCCAGAUGCCCCCGGAAAGAACACCGCCCCCGACCACCACCACAACCAGAUGUUUUUAAAAAGAGAUGCUAAGCAAAAGGCCUGAUUAUGAGGAAUGAGCCAAAGUCAUGCAAGGCGUGGGGCGCUAUGGGACUGCGCAGUGACGACCCAGUGAAGUAGAUGCCUUGACGAUUCCCAUUUCACGGAUGAGACGACUCCGGCACAGAGAAGUCAGAGGGCCUGUCCUGGGUCACACAGCCACAGGCGGCCCCCAGAACGGGACUUCAGGGUGCACCACUGCACCCCAGCAGAGACCUCCGCCUGGCACACAGGGAAUGCUGGAGCAAUACUUAAAUAGGAGCACACAGCACGCUGCACUGUGGGGACCGCUGUCCUUUGGUCUGCAUGCUGCUCAUCGCAUCUGGGGGAGAGGACCCGAUAUCGUUUGUUUUUACGUCCGCGAACUUCACAUGGUGUUAC